rnacentral:misc_RNA from 1 species
UUCGUCUGUGUGAGGGUCGGCGAACAGAUCCAUCGCGAGGUCAAACCGCUCUCCGGGCCACCGCGCCCGCUCGCGCUCUGGGCCGUCGCACGAAGUUCCGACUCGAGAGGGGAAAGAAGAGGGGUGCUCCUCCUCCUCGUACAAUCUCGCCGUCGGGCCUCCGCGGCCUCAAGUGAAGACUUUCCGUCGCCGCUCCGUCCGGAGCAGUCCUUUGGGAAACCGGGCGUGUCCUCUGGUUGCCCAUCGCACGCACACCAUCCCCCUCUCUGCUCGAUGGGGAGACGUGGCUCGAACGAGCUAGACGCGCUCCCCGGAGGGUUUGGUGUGUCAGUCGAAGACCAGAGACCGCUUCGUGGUUUUUCUCUGUCGGGAACUUGCGCGACCGGAAAAAGGGAAAAGAACCCCCGAAAAAAAAAUUGAGGAAGCAAUUCCGCAAUUUUGAUUUCUCUUUCCGACCUCAGAUCAGACGAGAGUACCCCCUGAAUUAAAGCAUAGAAA